AUUGAACGCUGGCGGCAGGCUUAACACAUGCAAGUCGAGCGGGGUGAGGUGCUUCGGUACUGAUCCUAGCGGCGGACGGGUGAGUAAUGCUUAGGAAUCUGCCAUUUAGUGGGGGACAACAUUCCGAAAGGGAUGCUAAUACCGCAUACGUCCUACGGGAGAAAGCAGGGGAUCUUCGGACCUUGCGCUAAAUGAUGAGCCUAAGUCGGAUUAGCUAGUUGGUGGGGUAAAGGCCUACCAAGGCGACGAUCUGUAGCGGGUCUGAGAGGAUGAUCCGCCACACUGGGACUGGGACACGGCCCAGACUCCUACGGGAGGCAGCAGUAGGGAAUAUUGGACAAUGGGCGGAAGCCUGAUCCAGCCAUGCCGCGUGUGUGAAGAAGGCCUUUUGGUUGUAAAGCACUUUAAGCGAGGAGGAGGCUACCUGGAUUAAUACUCUGGGAUAGUGGACGUUACUCGCAGAAUAAGCACCGGCUAACUCUGUGCCAGCCGCCGCCGUAACAC
rnacentral:rRNA from 1 species